GACGAACGCUGGCGGCGUGCUUAACACAUGCAAGUCGAACGGAAAGGCCCUGCUUUUGUGGGGUGCUCGAGUGGCGAACGGGUGAGUAACACGUGAGUAACCUGCCCUUGACUUUGGGAUAACUUCAGGAAGCUGGGGCUAAUACCGGAUAGGAGCUCCUGCUGCAUGGUGGGGGUUGGAAAGUUUCGGCGGUUGGGGAUGGACUCGCGGCUUAUCAGCUUGUUGGUGGGGUAGUGGCUUACCAAGGCUUUGACGGGUAGCCGGCCUGAGAGGGUGACCGGCCACAUUGGGACUGAGAUACGGCCCAGACUCCUACGGGAGGCAGCAGUGGGGAAUAUUGCACAAUGGGCGGAAGCCUGAUGCAGCAACGCCGCGUGCGGGAUGACGGCCUUCGGGUUGUAAACCGCUUUCGCCUGUGACGAAGCGUGAGUGACGGUAAUGGGUAAAGAAGCACCGGCUAACUACG
rnacentral:rRNA from 1 species